rnacentral:rRNA from 1 species
AGAGUUUGAUCCUGGCUCAGAACGAACGCUGGCGGCGUGCCUAACACAUGCAAGUCGAACGGAAUUUGAGAGCUUGCUCUUAAAUUUAGUGGCGCACGGGUGAGUAACGCGUAGAUAAUCUGCCUGACGAUCUGGGAUAACACUUCGAAAGAGGUGCUAAUACCGGAUAAGCCCACGGGGUCUUUGGAUGCUGCGGGAAA